UACGUAGGGCGCAAGCGUUGUCCGGAAUUAUUGGGCGUAAAGAGCUCGUAGGCGGUUUGUCGCGUCUGCUGUGAAAUCCCGAGGCUCAACCUCGGGUCUGCAGUCGAUACGGGCGGACUGGAGUUCGGCAGGGGGAGACUGGAAUUCCUGGUGUAGCGGUGAAAUGCGCAGAUAUCAGGAGGAACACCGGUGGCGAAGGCGGGGUCUCUGGGCCGAUACUGACGCUGAGGAGCGAAAGCAUGGGGGAGCGAACAGG
rnacentral:rRNA from 1 species